rnacentral:rRNA from 1 species
UAGAUNAGCCUCUGGGUCACCUCCCACCCGUGUUUAUUGUACCUUGUUGCUUCGGUGCGCCCGCCUCACGGCCGCCGGGGGGCUUCUGCCCCCGGGUCCGCGCGCACCGGAGACACCAUUGAACUCUGUCUGAAGAUUGCAGUCUGAGCAUAAACUAAAUAAGUUAAAACUUUCAACAACGGAUCUCUUGGUUCCGGCAUCGAUGAAGAACGCAGCGAAAUGCGAUAACUAAUGUGAAUUGCAGAAUUCAGUGAAUCAUCGAGUCUUUGAACGCACAUUGCGCCCCCUGGUAUUCCGGGGGGCAUGCCUGUCCGAGCGUCAUUGCUGCCCUCAAGCACGGCUUGUGUGUUGGGCUCCGUCCCCCCGGGGACGGGUCCGAAAGGCAGCGGCGGCACCGAGUCCGGUCCUCGAGCGUAUGGGGCUUUGUCACCCGCUCUGUAGGCCCGGCCGGCGCCAGCCGACAACCAAUCAUCCUUUUUUCAGGUUGACCUCGGAUCAGGUAGGGAUACCCGCUGAACUUAAGC